UCAUCAGGUGGGAUAAUUCGUACCUGUUCCUGGUUUUGGAGGGCAGAUAGACCAUGAUAAUUGGAGUUAGCGUGAUCCACGAUUAAUGUCUUUGUGUAAUCAGGACUUGCAAACCCUGAUUGUUUGUAUCUCAU